ensembl:lncRNA
ACCAUUUAUUGGAUGGGACACCUUAGGCUCUGGUUCCUCUAGUGACUGCCAGUACAAGAUGAGUACUUGCCAUGGUUUGGAAAGUGAACUGUAGUAACAGUGCCUUGAGUCUUCAGUUGAGAUCAUGAAGUGUGCACUUCUGAAAAAGUGAGAGAUGUCCAAGAGAGGAAAAUCUGAUAAUGACUCUAAUCUAUGAAUAUUUUUCCUAUAAUAGCAAUGAUGCUGCCACAUAUUUUGCAAAGUGCUCUUUUCUGGAGCUGAAGAUUGAGUUGCAUCCAAUGCGAUAGACCCCACUGGCAGCCGCGUGUUCCUAGCGGAGACAUUCCUUCACCAUGCCAAGUUAUUUUUAAGUCUAUCUGGAUUUUUUUUUAAUUUUUAAACCAGCACAUAAAAGAAAGCUAUCGAGUUGCUCAAUCAAUGUUAGUUUAUUAUUGCUUACCCAAGUGUUUAAUAAACCUAUCCCAACUCUGGACGUAGAUUUAAAU